rnacentral:tRNA from 1 species
ACUUAGCUGGCUCAGUUCCUAGAGCAUGAGACUCUUGAUCUCAGGGUUGUGAGUUUGAACCCCACGUUGGGAA